rnacentral:tRNA from 1 species
GGGCCCUUAGCUCAGCUGGGAGAGCGCCUGCUUUGCAAGCAGGAGGCCGCCGGUUCGAUUCCGGCAGGGUCCA